CAAUGAGGCAUUAAGGAGGAGGAGUGUCCCAAGGGAGAUGAGCUGGAGUUGAAUCAAGGAGUCUGACCUUAAUGGACAACAUCCACCUGGUUCCCUCGAUCUCCGGUAUCCCAUUUAGUUUGGCCAGUCGGAGGUACCAUCAGGAAACUGGAGAAAACGAGGAGGGUGAGGCAUCUGACUGAUUCCUGGAAGACAAAAUUAAGGCUAACAGAAGACCACAGUCAUCCAAAAAGGAAUGAGAAUGACUUUCCAUUGAGAGUGAAAAUAUGGGAGUGUGCUGAAGUGGCCACCUGUAUUUAGAGGGAUGAAUACCAUUCACUCUCCUGGAACUGCUGAUUUCACAGUGAAGAUUUGCUGCCACACAAACACAGAGAGAGCUCUGGGUAGAGUGUAAAGUUAUUGCUGUCCAUUGGAAAUACUUUUUGAUUUCCCCAUUUGCUGGAAUAACUGUGCAGGCCUCAGCAAGAACAUGGAGAGGCCAGAACAGAAGUUUUCAUGAUGAGAAGAGACUAAUCUUAUGCCUUUGUUUUCUAUCUAAUCUUAUGCAUAGAAGUCUAUUUAUAAAAAAGCAAAAAUAAAAUAAUGAUAAUUUUGUGCUUCCAUCCAACAAUAU